rnacentral:rRNA from 1 species
GUGGCAGGGCGGCAGCUACACAUGCAGUCGAGCGGUAACAGAUCCAGCUUGCUGGAUGCUGACGAGCGGCGGACGGGUGAGUAAUGCAUAGGAAUCUGCCCGAUAGUGGGGGAUAACCUGGGGAAACCCAGGCUAAUACCGCAUACGUCCUACGGGAGAAAGGGGGCUUCGGCUCCCGCUAUCGGAUGAGCCUAUGUCGGAUUAGCUAGUUGGUGAGGUAACGGCUCACCAAGGCCACGAUCCGUAGCUGGUCUGAGAGGAUGAUCAGCCACAUCGGGACUGAGACACGGCCCGAACUCCUACGGGAGGCAGCAGUGGGGAAUAUUGGACAAUGGGGGGAACCCUGAUCCAGCCAUGCCGCGUGUGUGAAGAAGGCCCUCGGGUUGUAAAGCACUUUCAGCGAGGAAGAACGCCUAGCGGUUAAUACCCGCUAGGAAAGACAUCACUCGCAGAAGAAGCACCGGCUAACUCCGUGCCAGCAGCCGCGGUAAUACGGAGGGUGCAAGCGUUAAUCGGAAUUACUGGGCGUAAAGCGCGCGUAGGUGGCUUGAUAAGCCGGUUGUGAAAGCCCCGGGCUCAACCUGGGAACGGCAUCCGGAACUGUCAAGCUAGAGUGCAGGAGAGGAAGGUAGAAUUCCCGGUGUAGCGGUGAAAUGCGUAGAGAUCGGGAGGAAUACCAGUGGCGAAGGCGGCCUUCUGGACUGACACUGACACUGAGGUGCGAAAGCGUGGGUAGCAAACAGGAUUAGUCCC